rnacentral:snoRNA from 1 species
AAUCCGUGUUGUGGGCAUUGUCGAAGUAAACCCUUGUAUCAUUCCCAACCUCUAAAUAGCAUUCUUCUGAGUCCAUUUGUUGAGAAGUAGUGAUCUCGUCCCUCAACAU